rnacentral:rRNA from 1 species
UACGGGGGGUGCGAGCGUUGUCCGGAAUCACUGGGCGUAAAGGGCGCGUAGGUGGUUUGAUAAGGGUGUGGUGAAAGCCCGGGGCUCAACCCCGGGUCUGCCGUGCCGACUGUUAAACUCGAGGGCUGUAGAGGCAGACGGAAUUCCGGGUGUAGCGGUGGAAUGCGUAGAGAUCCGGAGGAAGACCGGUGGCGAAGGUGGUCUGCUGGGCAGUUUCUGACACUGAUGCGCGACAGCGUGGGGAGCAAACAGG